AGAGUUUGAUCCUGGCUCAGAACGAACGCUGGCGGCAGGCUUAACACAUGCAAGUUGAACGGGAUUUGUGUGGUGCUUGCACCAUAUAAUGAGAGUAGCGCACUGGUGAGUAACACGUGGGAACGUACCUUUUGGUGGGGGACAACAUCUGGAAACGGAUGCUAAUACCGCAUAAGACCUGAGGGUGAAAGAUUUAUCGCCGAAAGAACGGCCCGCGGAAGAUUAGGCAGUUGGUGGGGUAAAGGCCUACCAAACCUACGAUCUAUAGCUGGUCUGAGAGGACGAUCAGCCACACUGGAACUGAGACACGGUCCAGACUCCUACGGGAGGCAGCAGUGAGGAAUAUUGGGCAAUGGAGGCAACUCUGACCCAGCCAUGCCGCGUGAGUGAAGAAGGUUUUCGGAUUGUAAAGCUCUUUCGGAUGUGACGAUGAUGACGGUAGCAUCUAAAGAAGCCCCGGCUAACUUCGUGCCAGCAGCCGCGGUAAUACGAAGGGGGCGAGCGUUGUUCGGAAUUACUGGGCGUAAAGGGUGUGUAGGCGGUUAUGUAAGAUAGCGGUGAAAUCCCGGGGCUUAACCUCGGAAUAGCCGUUAUAACUAUGUAGCUAGAGUUAUGGAGAGGAUAGCGGAAUACCCAGUGUAGAGGUGAAAUUCGUAGAUAUUGGGUAGAACACCGGUGGCGAAGGCGGCUAUCUGGCCAUAUACUGACGCUGAGGCACGAAAGCAUGGGGAUCAAACAGGAUUAGAUACCCUGGUAGUCCAUGCUGUAAACGAUGAAUGCUGGUUGUCGGCUUUAGGGUCGGUGACGAAGUUAACGCGAUAAGCAUUCCGCCUGGGGAGUACGGUCGCAAGAUUAAAACUCAAAGGAAUUGACGGGGACCCGCACAAGCGGUGGA
rnacentral:rRNA from 1 species